rnacentral:rRNA from 1 species
UACAGAGGGGGCAAGCGUUGUUCGGAAUUACUGGGCGUAAAGGGCGCGUAGGUGGCCUUCUAAGUCGAACGUGAAAUCCCUGGGCUCAACCCAGGAACUGCGUCCGAGACUGGGAGGCUUGAAUCCGGGAGAGGGAUGCGGAAUUCCAGGUGUAGCGGUGAAAUGCGUAGAUAUUGGGAGGAACACCAGUGGCGAAGGCGGCUCACUGGACCGGAACUGACGCUGAGGCGCGAAAGCGUGGGGAGCAAACAGG